GACCUUCGGGCCUCGCGCUAUUAGAUGAGCCUAGGUCGGAUUAGUUAGUUGGUGAGGUAAUGGCUUACCAAGACUAUGACGCUUAACUGGUUUGAGAGGAUGAUCAGUCACACUGGAACUGAGACACGGUCCAGACUCCUACGGGAGGCAGCAGUGGGGAAUAUUGCACAAUGGACGAAAGUCUGAUGCAGCAACGCCGCGUGGAGGAUGACACAUUUCGGUGCGUAAACUCCUUUUAUAUGAGAAGAUAAUGACGGUAUCAUAUGAAUAAGCACCGGCUAACUCCGUGCCAGCAGCCGCGGUAAUACGGGGGGUGCAAGCGUUACUCGGAAUCACUGGGCGUAAAGAGCAUGUAGGCGGAUUGAUAAGUUUGAAGUGAAAUCCUAUAGUUUAACUAURGAACUGCUUUGAAAACUGCUAAUCUAGAAUGUGGGAGAGGUAGAUGGAAUUUCUGGUGUAGGGGUAAAAUCCGUAGAGAUCAGAAGGAAUACCGAUUGCGAAGGCGAUCUACUGGAACACUAUUGACGCUGAGAUGCGAAAGCGUGGGGAGCAAACGGGAUUAGAUACCCCGGUAGUCCACGCCCUAAACGAUGCACACUAGUUGUUGUGAGGCUAGACCUUGCAGUAAUGCAGUUAACACAUUAAGUGUGCCGCCUGGGGAGUACGGCCGCAAGAUUAAAACUCAAAUGAAUAGACGGGG
rnacentral:rRNA from 1 species